UAGUUGGUGAAAGUCCAACCAAAGGAGGGGCCAAGCCACCUUUGUAGCUAGGAUGCUUGCGUACGGCGAAAUCUGUGCGUAAGAGCGCAUCGACAAAAGUACUUGUCAGAGACAAGGCGAGCAACAUACCAGGCCGUAACAUCA
rnacentral:ncRNA from 1 species